rnacentral:lncRNA from 1 species
GAUAACCACAAUAAACAACCUCGCACUCUUAAAAGACUACUCAAAACUCAUAAAUUCCAUCCAACACCAAGAAUAACAAACUUCACUUCAACCAAUCAGGAUUCACAAAAUUUCUGUAAUCAUAGACUUCCUUUGUCUAAAACACAUACAACUCUCAAUAAACAACAAUUAUAAUCUUCCAUCCAUAAUCAAUCUUUUAAUAACUUCUCAUAUAAUUCAAUCACAUAAUACUCCAAUUACAUAAUGAAUAACUCAUAAAUCAAUCUCUGAUUUAUUCUACAGACUCACUUCUCUGCAUUCAAAAACUAUCCAUUAUUCUUCAACAACAAAGAAAACAAAGAAAACAAAGAGGUAGCACCAAGCUUAACCCCGGUUCAUAACUAUCAUAGUCUCGCCCCUCAACAAACUUCUAUAACUCCUAUAUAAUUGCUAUUGAUUUCGAGAUUCUAAUCGUAAUCCUAUAAUAAACUACUUUUAAUAACUAAAUCCAUCAUUCGUUCUCCUGAACUAACUAUUCUAUGGACUAAUAAUCUAUUUUACUAAUAUCUUAUAAAAAUAAAUUAAUAUCUAUUCUACAAUAAGUCCAAAAGGCAUGACAUUGUAUUCAAAAUGUCCAUACUUGGUGUGAAAUA